rnacentral:rRNA from 1 species
UACAGAGGGGGCAAGCGUUGUUCGGAAUUACUGGGCGUAAAGGGCGCGUAGGCGGCCUGCUAAGUCGAACGUGAAAUCCCUGGGCUCAACCCAGGAACUGCGUCCGAUACUGGUUGGCUUGAAUUCGGGAGAGGGAUGUGGAAUUCCAGGUGUAGCGGUGAAAUGCGUAGAUAUCUGGAGGAACACCGGUGGCGAAGGCGACAUCCUGGGCCGGUAUUGACGCUGAGGCGCGAAAGCCAGGGGAGCAAACGGG